GAUGAAGAACGUAGCGAACUGCGAUAAGUAAUGUGAAUUGCAGAAUUCAGUGAAUCAUCGAGUCUUUGAACGCACAUUGCGCCCUCUGGUAUUCCGGGGGGCAUGCCUGUUCGAGCGUCAUUAUAACCACUCAAGCUCUCGCUUGGUAUUGGAGUUCACGAUCUCGCGGCUCCUAAAAUCAGUGGCGGUGCCUGUCGGCUCUACGCGUAGUAAUACUCCUCGCGAUUGAGUCCGGUAGGUUUACUUGCCAGCAACCCCCAAUUUUUACAGGUUGACCUCGGAUCAGGUAGGGAUACCCGCUGAACUUAAGCAUAUCAAUAAGCGGAGGA
rnacentral:misc_RNA from 1 species